rnacentral:rRNA from 1 species
CCUACGGGAGGCAGCAGUGAGGAAUAUUGGUCAAUGGGCGGGAGCCUGAACCAGCCAAGUCGCGUGAGGGAAGACGGUCCUAUGGAUUGUAAACCUCUUUAGGCGGGGAGCAAUGCCGGGCACGUGUGCCCGGAGGGAGAGUACCCGCAGAAUAAGCAUCGGCUAACUCCGUGCCAGCAGCCGCGGUAAUACGGAGGAUGCGAGCGUUAUCCGGAUUUAGUGGGUUUAAAGGGUGCGUAGGCGGAUUUUUAAGUCAGCGGUAAAAUGUCCGGGCUCAACCCGGGCCGGCCGUUGAAACUGGGGAUCUUGAGUGGGCGAGAAGUAUGCGGAAUGCGUGGUGUAGCGGUGAAAUGCAUAGAUAUCACGCAGAACUCCGAUUGCGAAGGCAGCAUACCGGCGCCCGACUGACGCUGAGGCACGAAAGCGUGGGGAUCGAACAGGAUUAGAUAUCCUUGUAGUC